UACAGAGGGUGCAAGCGUUGUUCGGAAUUAUUGGGCGUAAAGAGCGUGUAGGCGGCCUGACAGGUCUGCUGUGAAAACUCGAGGCUCAACCUCGAGAUGUCGGCGGAAACCGUCUGGCUAGAGUCCGGAAGAGGAGAGUGGAAUUCCUGGUGUAGCGGUGAAAUGCGCAGAUAUCAGGAAGAACACCUAUGGCGAAGGCAGCGCUCUGGGACGGUACUGACGCUGAGACGCGAAAGCGUGGGGAGCGAACAGG
rnacentral:rRNA from 1 species